rnacentral:lncRNA from 1 species
AUGCGCCUCCCUGGAAGUGCUGCAAUGAGGGGGCAUCAUGCACUCCCUGCAGUCUUUGCAGAGGCAUUAAGGUUCCAGGGCAGCCUGGCUGAAAUCCCCCUGCCAACACGGACUAGCUGUGCUGCUUCAGGCAACUUUUUUUUCUCUUUUCUAAGAUUUUAUUUAUUUAUUCAUGAGGGGCACAGAGAGAGAGGCAGAGGGAGCAGCAGACUCCCCGCAGGGAGCCGGAUGCGGGACUCGAUCCCAGGACCCCGGGGUCACGGCCCCACCGAAGGCAGGUGCUCAACCGCUGAGCUGCCCAGGUGCGCCUGGAGGCAACGACUUAACCCUAGUUUCCCCACCUGUAAAAGGGGAGCGAGGAGCUAUCUCGGAAAACCGCCUCCUAGCCCGGUGCGUGCGAGAGUCGCAGCCUCAAGGAAGGCAGUGUUAAUGAAAUUCUUGGCAAACAACUUAUGGCCUGGGAAUAUACCAAUUCUUGUGCUCAGUGAUAUUUGCAGAAAAAGUUUCCCAAGAUCUGAAUCGUGUGUACCAAAGGGAGACAAAGAAGUGGGUAAUCACUGCAGAAUAUAAAGACUAAACGGAGCAGGCUUCUUUUAACGACAUGGUAUUAAGUAAGCUGCGAUCUUUUCGCAGGCUGAAGGGAGAGAAGAGGGUCCUUAUCCCCCUACGUUAAAGGAUCCUUUGGAAACAGUCCAGCCCCCAUCCCCCCCUUUUUUUGCAAAAUGAUGGCAGUGAAACCUUGGAAGGCAUGGAUACAAAAAUGAAUGGCUGAAGGGAAAUGCUCUCGAAUCCAUGUUAGGGUCAAAAAUCUGCAUUUAAACCUUAAAAUAAAAGCCUCGAGUAUUCUUUUCCCCUCUUGACC